UACGUAGGGUGCGAGCGUUGUCCGGAAUUAUUGGGCGUAAAGAGCUUGUAGGCGGUUUGUCGCGUCUGCCGUGAAAUCCGGGGCUCAACCCCGGACUUGCGGUGGGUACGGGCAGACUAGAGUGUGGUAGGGGAGACUGGAAUUCCUGGUGUAGCGGUGAAAUGCGCAGAUAUCAGGAGGAACACCGAUGGCGAAGGCAGGUCUCUGGGCCACUACUGACGCUGAGAAGCGAAAGCGUGGGGAGCGAACAGG
rnacentral:rRNA from 1 species